UGGUGCGUAGACAUAAAAUGGGAGUUUUUGCCCCUCCUAUAUUUAGAAUUAAACGUAAAGUGAUAUAACUCAUUAACUAUACAUAUUACAGACCUAGGGUCUUUUGAUUUGGGGUCCCUGGUUUAUGACCUUGAAAUAUAGGUCAAGGUCAUCAGUAAAUUUGACGUUCUAGAUUUUGACCUUUGCUCAAAAUUCAUAUUUAUACAUCAUUAAGCCAUAGGAACUGACAUUUUCAACUGAAUUCUAAUAUUUUCAUAUCAAAAUAGAUUCUUAUUGGUGGAAAGACCUUCAAUUGUUC
rnacentral:lncRNA from 1 species